GGAUGUCACCCACAGCCAAGUAACUACAGUACUAGGUAUUUAAUUAUUGCUAGGUGAUCAGGGGCAGUAUAUAUAAAAACACUUGCUCACACAUCUUGCCUCACCCAGAAUUGAAGCACUGGCACAUACAUCUCGCUUCAACCAGGACUGGAACACUUACUCAUACAUCUUGCCUCACCCAGGUGUGAAACACUUGCUCAUACAUCUCACCUCAACCAGGCAUGAAACACUUGCUCAUACAUCUUGCCUCACCCAGGACUGGAACACUGGCUCAUACAUCUUGCCUCACCCAGGAUUGAAGCAAUGGCUC